rnacentral:lncRNA from 1 species
GCCUCGCGCCCUCCCUCCUCCUUUCUCCCCAUACACACGCAGCCCUAAGCCCGAGCCUUUACAGGGCUCACCAGCUGCGGACCCACUGCGCCGGCAGAUCAAGGGGCGCUCACAGGUCUCUCUUCUCCGCCUUUCCACGUUAGACUAACCUGUUCAGCCUGGGGCCGUGCUAGCCAGAGGAGCUGUUACCUCCCCUAGGCUCCGUGCUAGCCGAAGGGAUCAUUACCUCCCCUGGGCUCAGAGCUAGCCGCAAGGGCCGGUACCUCCCCGACUCAGGCUUUCUCUUCCUGUGUCCCCGCCCAGCUUCCUAAACCUCCUCUUACCUCUAGCCCCGGUCUUACAGCUGCGCGUGCGCUUCCCCUCCACACACAUACAGUCCCACCCCCAACCUCCCAGCCGGUGGGAUUAUUCCAUUCCCGAUCCGAAAAUUGGGGGUUUGGGGGGGAGAGGAAUACUGGUCAUUAACAUGAAACUAUUCCUGCCUAGGGGAGGUGUGUAGGCGAGGGAGAUUUUUUUUUCCCCCUCAGCACCAGACUAUUCCAUUCUCGCCCGCAGAAGGUGUAUGGGCAGGAGAGGUUUUUCAGUAGCAGACGAUUCCAUUCCCGACUGAUAAGAGGGAGUGUAAGAAAAAAAAAAAAGAGUUCUUCGCACAAGACUAUUCCAUUCUUGCCGGCUUGCAGGGAUUUGGGGAAAAAUGUAUUUAUUUGUCUUCAGCUCCGGACAAUUCUGUUCUGGACGAAGGCAGGCGUGUUAUUCAAGCCUGAUUGGGCAUCCGCACGAGACGCCAUGAAAUGGGAGGCACGAGGAACCUGCGAGCAGUUGGAGACAUCGCUGAGCGGCGUCCUCCUUUAAAACUCGGACCUCGUUGCCUCUGGAACCCGUGUUGUCCUGUUUUUUGGCUACCCUGCUGAGACAUCGCCAUGUCUUCCCACAAGACUUUCAGAAUCAAGAGGUUCCUUGCAAAGAAACAGAAACAAAAUCGUCCGAUUCCUCAGUGGAUUCGCAUGAAAACUGGCAAUAAGAUCAG